UCAGACCUGAGCCAUAGCAGCAACUGGAGCCACCGCAGUGACAACACCAGGUCCUUAACUCACGGCAAGACCAGGCAGCUCUGAGGACCCAAUCACAUUUUAUAAACCAGCUCCAGGUUGAAAUCUCAUUGUCUGGAGACCAUGGCCACGGACAUAGCCUUGUACUUUCGCAUCUUAGACCCACAAUAUCGAGAUCCCACUUUCCUCCUAGACUUAGAAAGAAUCAGAAACUCAGUUUGCUGUUAAAAUGACCACAGUGUACUUUAUUUAAUGAUUUUGGUACCUUGUGUUGCAAUAAAAUAAAAAAAAAAUCUACAAAAUCCAAAUAUAUAAAAUUUCAAGUUUCUUUUUUUUUUUUAAAGUUUUACAAGAAAAAAUCAUGUAACCAAGGAAAUCUGUUCAUUGUGAAGCACUACUUUCCACGUCGUUUCAUCACAAAUUGCAACUUACUUAACAGACCAAAAUAACGAUGGUACUGCAGUACAUCAAAUACUCCACACACUGUGCUUUCAACUACAGCAGGUGGGGCCGUGCCCAGUGACAGCGGCCUCCAGCCGAUAAAGACACUCUUACGAUCCGCACGCUAAAGGAAUGUUUGGAUACAUGGAGUUUGAAUAUAUAUAUUUACAGGAAGGAAAAAAAAUUAAUAACUAGUUUAAUUCUUUUCAAAUAAAAUUCCAAAUACAUUUGUACAGUGUUUACAAAGUAAAAGCACAAGAACUGCCAAGGUUCUCUUUCGGGUCCAGGUACUGUGCUUGUACUGGGGGGGAACUUCUAUGCCAUCCCCUAAACCCACACGGGGUCUCUCCGACCUCAUUUCUGUAUGGGUCACGGGAGAGAGAAGCACAGGAAUGGCCCUUGCACACACGUGGAAGGUCAUGCAGAGAGUUGGCAAACAGGGAACUGAGAAAUGAUUGGUCCAUUCUCUUCAGCCGGCCAUUCACCUCCCGCCUGGUACAUUUGCUUUUCAGAGAGAGAUUUCAAACAACAACCACAACCGAAAAUUGAACUGGGGAAGGAGCACAGAAUGUUUAAGGCAAAUUAAGCAAAGAGAGAGCAGCUUCUCUUGGUGUUGAGUGGAAAUGAGGAUUGCACCCCAAAUCGAACUUAGAAACGAACAAAAUGAAGUACAACCUCUUAAGGGGGGGUUGCUUAUACACAAAAUUUUUGAAAAUUGCUUUUGCACCAAGUAUCCUUUUGAGAUUUUAAAUAAACGACUCGGUUACAAAGUGCAUGCUUUCAUGUUUCGAAAGAAAACUGUAGCUGAGGUAGUUCGAUGUGAAACUGAUUUACUUAAAAUAACUGGAGAAUGAAGAACACAUUUUUGUCAGUAGCAAAAAUCCUUGCCAUCAGGAGGCAGGUUUAUAUUGUGCAAUGAUUUAAUGCCAAGCAAAAUGCUUCUAUUUUCUUAUCGGAUGGCAUUAAUUAAACCGAAAUAUUAGUGGUAGCAGUAUGUAUUUCCAAUUGGUUUGCUAGGAUGUCAGUACGGAUGAAGUCUAUAUCCCUAGUCAUUUUAGAAUUCAUGCUUUCCCUAUUUCUGCAUUGAAGCUGUAACAUAAGAUGGCAUUGGUUAUCAUCACUAGACUCUUUGAUCUAAACUGUGAAAAGGAUUUAGUAAAAACGGAGAAAAAUCAAUAGGAAGGAUGAUUUCACUCUACUCUUAUGAUGUUUUUGUCUUUAGCCCUAAAUUCAACGUACAAUUUGGUUUCAAAGGGGGAGGAAAUGCCUGGUUUACUGGCUGCCCUCCUCAUUCUGAGAAUGGGAAAACCUACCUUGCCUGUCCAUCAGCCUGUCUCUCUCCAGGCUCUUGAACUGUCUGCUAAUUGAGAAGAAAAGCAGACACAGUUGGGUCUCUUCCUGCCUCAAGAGAGGCUUCAGGUAGGACCCUCAAAAAGCAGUGGACCCAAAGCUUUGUUUUUCAGCAAUCUCGCACCAUCUAGAUAUGAAAAGAGUAAUAAUAAUCUGCCAAGAAUAAGAAGGCAUGUUGGGAGACAUUCCUUUUGAGCAAAACAGAAUUUCCCACGUGUUUCCUACCAUUUGUUUAUGGGAUAGAACAUUACCUGGAAGAAGCCAUGGAAGUUGGCAAGUACACCGAAAAUGUAUGAUGAAUGUGAUGAGAACAUAACCAGUCCACAGCAUUGUAAUCGGAUUUAUCUUUGCUAAAAACUAGCUUUUCUAAUUUUCAGGAAGGACGCCAGAGAAUGCCAAGUGGCUGGAAAGUCUUAGAAAGAGUAAAAUGUAUGGGGCUCAAAUCUCCUUUUCCCCAAAGAUUACCUACGCAGUUUAUAUCUAAUGACAUCUCGCCUGCACUUUUUUAAAAUCUCGAAUUUGGAUUCUACCAUGUUGAAGAGGUGUCUAGCCCUAACCCAGUUGGAUUUAGUUCUGUGUCUUCGUGGCGAACCCUCUCAAUGACAUAGUCUCCCCCCCUGACCUCCUCUCCUUCUGGCCCACCCACCUGCAAAUCUGCCUCAUCUCGUCUUAUCUCCAGGCCCUUGCACUGAGGCCAGUCAACCUCAGUUUUCUUGUGCAAAAAAAAGACAUGGAUAUUUCCCUUCUUAGCAACAAGCAUAUUCUGCCGUACUUUGUGUUGGAAAGUUAUCGAUGCUAGGUACGGAAAAAAAAGCUGGAGAAGUCCAAAUUAUUUUGAUUCACUUACACUCAUAUUUUGAAUUUAAAAACUCUCCAAACCAACACAACAACAACAACAACAAAACGGUACUUAUCUUAAGUCUGAUGUGGCAAAUAAUUUUUUUAAAUGGGUCAGAUAAUUGCCUAGGUUAAAUUCAUGGUUCAGAAAGCUUAACAUGCAUUAGAAAUGUUUAACCAGGCUAAAAAUGUAAGCCUUCAAUAUACCACUGGCAAAAAGGUUUUAGAAUUCAGAAGAGAUUGUGUUGAAUGUGUAUAUCACCUCCAGGCAUAACAUGAUUUUCAACCAAAUCCUGAUAAACCUUCUGAAACUGUAUUUCAUCUUUUUGAGAGCAUGCAAUUUUUUUUUUGCAAAGGAAUGUAGUUAUUAAAUAAGGGCAGAACGAUAAUAUUUAUGUGCAACAACUUUGUCUCACAAAGUCACAUCCCUAAAACAUUUCCUGCGUUGUUAGUAUAGUUUCAUGGGCAUAUUCUUACUUUAUGAUAUUGCCUCCUGGGCUCAAAAAUAACAAAUCAUAUCACUUAGCACCGGUUCUUAUUCCGACUAGAUAUUGAAGAGAAAACAUGUUACUUUGGCAGGAAGUUGCACAGGACGUUCUGUGUUACGGUUUUCCAUCACUUGCUCUGUCCUGGAGUGGUCCCCACAUCUGCAUAGGCAUGAAACACAUGCACCUGUGGCUGAAGUCUUGUGUAAACAAAUGCUUCUCUGAAAUAGUUAAAAUAUGCUUGUAAUCUGAAAACAAAUCAACUCAGGCGUUCAAGAAGAAAUAAGGCUUUAGAUUUUUUUCUUGAGUUGGAAAGGGAGAAAUGUGUAGUCGGAAUGGGAGUGAAUCUCCCUGGAAACAAUACAAAGUCUGAUCUCAAUAUCUACUAAAAUUCUCCCUCCUGGUAGCGGUGUCCGAGCACCAGUUGGCAAUCAUGAGCGCUGAACGGGAUGUCAUGCACACUUCUGGAAAAGGUAGCCUGGGUUCAGGAUCGCCACCGUUUCAGGAGCCAAGCUUUCAGGAUACAUUUCAUAAACAUUUAGUGAAAUUCAGUUUGACUAAGAGGAGACUUGCCAUUCUCUGUGUUUGUAGGAAAUGGGUUAAUUUUCUAAUUAAAAAGGUGAUAACUAAAAGGAAGGAAGGAAAAGUUCUACAGAGGCCUCUGAAGAAAAAGUUUCACUUAUGUGACCGAGAGAAGUCAGGGUCUUUGCCUGGCGGGUUAUUGCUGUUUUGUACCUAAACCGCCUCCACCUGCCUCCGCAGCCCAAUCCCCGCCGGCUGCACCAGUUACCCAGGGACAAAUCACUUCUCCCACUCUAAUUAGUCUUCCCAGCACCCCUCUGAGGCAGGUAAAUAAAUUUCCCACCAGGGAAAAACGAGGAUGAGGUUGGCUUCCUGUUCCGUGAUAACCCCUGACAACCGGACAACCCUCAUCUCCGCCUCCAGAAUCAAGAAUCUCCUAUAGUGUGAAUGCAUAUUCUGUUUCAUAGAAUACACUUGUCUGUUUAAAACAGUCGUUGUAUUCAACACAGAGGUUUUUGGUUUUCUACUAAACCAAACAUUCCAUUUAAUGAUCACACGAUAAAAGAUAAACGCUGAUGCUUUUGCGGUCGCCAACCGAUUGUCACCUCUUGGUUGCCAAUUCACCUAAACUUUGGGCUGAGCAUCCUGACAAUAACGUGAAGGUACAAGCGUUGGAAAAGGACUUCAUACACAGGUCGGGGAAGAAGAAAAGCAAGUUCAAGAUGGAUUGGUGUGCACAUCCGCGGCCGGGGGCUGGGAGCAGUGGGGCAGCUCUCCAAGAACACCUUCCAAGGAGCUUUUCCAAAGCAGAGAGCAAUGCCUGCCCCGCGGGGUCAGGUGGCAGGGCUGGCGGCCCACCUGAUUCCGGGAAACUUCUGCACCUGAUGGGAGGGGGGAUGGGUCAAGGACGGGGCCGCCGAGCCCACACAGGCCUUCUAACUUGGCGCCUUGUGUAGAAAUAGGCACAAACACCACCUAGGAAUCUAUAAACCAUUUAGAUUUUCUCUGGAAACCCUUUCACGAUCUUUGCAUAGCUGAACCCCUUCAGGGCUCCGUGUGUGGGCUGACCAGCACCACAAAGCUCAUUCUGGAGCAUAAGCACGCUUAAUGGGAGGGGCCUGAGUUUGGACCAGCUUCAGAGCUGCCAGUAGGGAUUGCACACAAUGGCGGAAAUACACAUGAUCACCAAUCCACCAAUCAGACGAAACGAGGAAGACACGCCCCCCCAAUAAUCACGAAUACAAAAGUCCUAAGACUAUCUCAGACUUCCCUUCUGACAGAUGAAUUUCUCUUUGAUGUCAUCUUUUUCUUUUUAUUCCCGUGACUACAAAGAAAAACCCAAAUAUUCCAGUGUGUGUGAUAACCAGUUAGUUCUUGGUCAUCAAUAAUGCAAGUCAAAAAAAAAAUUAUAUCUUUUUUUUUUUCAUUUGGUAAAAACAGCUUUUACUUCUCCUGACACUGUGGAAUUUACCAGGAAAUAACUUGGGGGAUUGGGUCCAGGACCCCCUGGGGUACCCAAAUCCAAGGAUGCUAAAGUGCCUUUCAGUGGCCUUCCCUCUGUAUCUGUGGACAUGGAACCCUUAGAUACCGGGCUGCCUGUAAUUGAAACUAUUUUUAUGUGUAAAGAGGUAAAAUAAAUCCUUAAAAUCGAAACUUCCUAUUUGAAGAAUAAAACAUUAACAUAUGAUUAUUUCCCUUGAAUGUUUCUACCCUGUAGACUUUGUGAGUUAUUAAGAGUGGAUGAAGAGCAGAGGAGCAAUUAUACAAUCAUAAAAGAUGGAAAAUGGCUAAAUAACAGGGUUCUUGGCCAGGCAGGCACCAGGAAGCAGGCCUCCAGAACUUUUGCUCUGAAGUGGCUCUGUGCUAUGAGCACCUCUCAGUACACAGGGGCCAGCCUCCCAAACCUCUUCUGGUCACAUGUUUGCUGAAAGUCAAUCACAAAAUCCAAUAGCAUUUGCUCUGUAUUAUUUAGUUCUCUUUGCACCACAAAGAGAUUUUUAGCAGCAGAAUAUCACCGGCAAUCGAUUAAUGCACAAGAAAGUUAAAUUCCAUUACCUACAACACCUGAGCAUUUGUUGUCUGUCUACACAACACCAGACAACAGAAUGAAAAACUAAGGAUUCAAACACCCGGGUUUCCCCACAUAACCAGAUGUUUGCCAUCACAAGAACCAAAUUCGCUCCUUGAGUGACCUACUUCUUGACUUUUUUGUUUGCAUUCCUGUGGACAGCCUUUAUUUUUUCAUAAUGCCAAAAUGUCUACUUCUGUGUAGUGAAGAUGGUUCUGCAAUCAUCUGGAAAAUUCAGAUGUCGAAAGCCCCCACAUGAAAAGAAACUUAGUCAUGAGGAAAAAUCAGAGCUUUAGGGCUGUCAAUGGUCCAGUGGUUUUAUCUACAUUGGAAAAUUGCUUAAUUGUCCACCUCUUUUCACGUCCAUUAUUCUGAAAAAUCAUUCUCACAAGAAUCCUUUUUCCUUUUUGGGGACAGAGACACAGACUAGGUGAUGGCAGAAUCAAGUUCCAAAGCAUGUAGAAAUGAUUCAGCUCACACUUGUAAACCUGGGUUCAUGGGUUUGACCAUAAAGGUUCUUGCAAUGUCAUGAUGUCUUUACAAUGGGAUGAUGAGGUUCUUGCAAUGUCAUGAUGUCUUUACAAUGAGAUGGUGAUGUUCUUGCAAUAUCUUGAUGUCUUUACAAUGGGAUGAGGAGGUUUUUGCGAUGUCACGAUGUCUUUACAACAGGAUGGUGAGCAAGGCCAUGGUAACCCUGAAUCUCCCUGCUGUUAAAGUGAGAAAUGAUUCAGUGGUCAUGUUCUACACACAAGGGUACUUACUAUACCUUCAAACAUCUCAUUUUAUUACUCAUCAGAAACCCUUGGCAUGCUGAGCUAUCCAGCAGCAAAUGGACCAAUGACCAAGGACAACUGUCAAGGGGGAGAGUUCCCUAAGGACAGAGUUAGUAUCAGACACAGAGCCACUGAUGUCUUCUCUGUCUUUGUGCUCAGCCAUGCCUUGGCCUUUCAUGAGUGGACACAACUACAGUCAUAGUCAUGGGGCAGCAGGCCCACCUUCAACCUCUUCCCAUGAAAGAGGCAAAUAUCCAUGAAGAGUCACUGGUAGGUUCCCUCUUCAACCCACACACCCGCCACCUGUGUGUCAACAGCCAACUUCUGCCCAUCGCUGCCUAGAGUCACUCUUACUCAAGAGCCUCAUUUUAGAGCAUGGCUGAUUGCCUCUGUGUCCCCAUGGUCAACCAACUUACUGAACAAUGCAGGAUAUCUCUGCAUUUUUGGGGGCUUUGGAGAGCAGGAAAUUAACAUUUUCUUCCAUGUGUUAGUUUUCAUAGCCUUACAAUUGAAAGUAACCCAAGUGGUGGUAGGCCUCUUUUUUUUUUUUUUAAACCAUUACAUUUCAAUGCUUGUGCCAAGCAAAACUAGUUCUGAGAAAUUAUUUGCCAAAGUAGAGGAUGCAGGACAGUCCUGGCUCCUGUAACAGGUACUCUCACUCAUGGUUCUUGGUACCUCUUGGAGAAGGUCACCAACAUGGUCAAAGGAGAAAGACUGCUGAAAUGCACACAGAAAGGAUUCCUGCUUCUUCUUCUUUACCUAUUAGGUUAGUCAAACCUGAAAACUUUGACUCAUUCUUCUAGUGUUAACUCCUAAAACUGUUCUACCAAAAGUUUGGACAGAAAGCUUUUUAAGUUCAUAAGGAUGUCUGACGUUCUAUGAACUCAGAAAGUACAAUCUGAAAUACAUCUCUCCUUGCCUUGCAGCUCAGAACUUUCUUUAAAAACAGAGGAGCAAGUGGAAUUGAACCCUGCUUUUUAAUUUUGAGACCACCCAUUUAGUUUUAAGUGAACCCUCAAAACUGAAGAAGUUUUGAAAACGCACUAAGAAGUCAGAUGGGUGAUCCUAGAGCUUGAAACCAAGGUUUUGCGGACUCUGAGAGCAACAGGAGGUGCAAUUCCACAUACACAGGUAUCUCAGUGUGAAACUGGCAGUGUCACCACCUAGGAAGGCAGGAAUCAAAUUCUUCAGCAGCUACAUCCAUGCAGAUUUUACCUCUGAAUUAUCAAUACAAUGUUUGUAAAAUGGUUAUUACAAUGCUGACAACGGCAGCCUCAAGAAAUGUAGAGCAGCAACUUGACUCCGACAGAUCAAUCAUAAGAAGAUGACAGUGACAAUGACUUUUUUUUUUUUUUCAUUUCCAAACACAAGUAGACUUGUAUCCAUUUAGGGUGGGUUCUAUAACCUAGUAGCUGUUCUCUGAGCUAUACAAACCCUUAGGAAUCCAUUAACUUUUUCCUCAUUUUUUUUUUUUUUCCAAAUCCGCGCUUACUGGCCAAAACAAAUGAAGCAGGUGAAUACUCAUGGCAUGAAUGACGGAAUGAUGAAGCAGGUAGCAUGAAUUCCUGAGAGCUCUGCUUCACAGAAGACUUCCUCCCCAGGCCUGUGCGCCUCACAGCAUGGAACCAAUGCCCCUUUCCACUAACUGAUUCAAGCCCCUGGAAGUAGCUCGGCUACAGUAUUACAAGUCAAGAAUUGGCAAGAUUAAAGGGUCUGUUGAAUUAGCACAAAUCACCUUCAGUAAAGCUUGGCAAGUUCCAAGAAUGUUUCCGUAAAAAAGAAGGGACUCAAUAGCAUCAGCAAAUAUGCAGCUUGUGACAGCCGAGUCUCGUGUGUCUGGUGUGGCUGGCUUGUCCCAGCCCCCUGCCCCUUGCUCAAGGCAGAAGCAUUCUCUCCCUGUUCACAGAACACUAAAACUCUGAUUCAGACCGAGGGAAACAUUUCACUUCAGGCUUUCGAGACACACUUCAGAGGUCCAUUUCUUUUUCUGUGUACAAUAUAUUAGACAGGUUAAUAAGGGUAGCUGAAUAUUUUGAAAGACGGUUAUGAAAUGACAGUUCUUUGACUAGCCGACCGAUCUCCUUUGGUUACAGGAUGACGUGUAAUUGUUAUUGAUUUGAAUAGAAUAAAAACUCUCAGCAACAUAACUAGAAAGCCACAGGUAGCAGGGUAAUUGCUGUUAUUGUAGUGGGGACCUGACAUGCCAAACUCAAGGGCUCAUUUGCCAGAACCGCAAACAGAUGGAAAUACCAGUGUUGCAGAAGAUGCAUUCCACCAGCUUGUAGUCAAAAUCGGAAUUUCUCACAAUGAUCGAAACCCCAACAUGUAUCUUCGACAUACUUCAGGGUGUUUGAGAACGUACUGAUAGAUGAAUUAAUUUGAAAUAAUGAAGUGUUGAUUUGAUACAACUCUAUACCAGACUGCCACAAGAACAGUUCAAUUAAAUUAGCUUAAACACAACAUCUCCAUUUGUUAAUAUUUGCAGCACUUAAAUGAAGUAAGAAUUUGAUUAGUUCCAUUUGAAUGCAAAUCAAGCAACAGAGGAGCCGGUCACCAGCUUAAAUUGGUAGAUGGAAGUAAAAUAAAAACACGAAACCGUACAUUUUCUGAAAUUCUAAUAACAGAGUAGAUGACAGGCUUCAAUGAUAGCACAGGAUGGAAUUUUGUGCGGGUGGCAUUGGCUUAUCAAGUCGGUUAAUUAGUUUAGAUGUUAAUCUGUUUUGUUGAACAUGAGAUUUCUCUGCAAACCUCCUGUCAGGGUAACUAUGCUCUUGUCUAAUGCAAGAGCUGAAAGGGCGGUGAUCAUCUUAGUGAACUUCUGAUGGUGGCAGGAGCCUAGAAAUCAGGGCUCUGAGAGCCCUAUGAUCAGGUCGCCUAUUCUACGGAUGCUUCAUGGGAUUCACCAAGGAAUUCUUGGAGUGACUCUGUGCUCAUUAAGUGAAUACGCUUCCUUCUCUCUUUCCUUUUAUCCCAUAGAGGACCUAUGGGCUUAUGGCAUUCCCUGGCCAGAAUGAUUUCACUCAGAGAAAAUUAGUUAUGCAAGUUCAUGGUUAUCUUUAAGCAACGUGCUCUUAAUGUCUGUGGGAAGCCAAUUGCUCUAGGCCAUAUUGCAGAGAAGACUGGGAUAUGGGUGCCCGCAAGGGCUGGGGCUGGCUGUCCUGACUCCCGAAAGGCCAUGAGGUUCAGUGUUGCUCCUCUGAUCAUCUGGGCCAGUGCUUCAGAAUGGCCCUCAGUUUGCCAUAACUGAGGUUUACGUCUGCAAAUCUGUUGUUUCUAAAUAAUGUAUAUGCUGGAGCUACCAUGACAUCUAACUCUUAUAUACAGAGAGGUAUCUUUGCAAGGGUUCUCUAAUGCUCAUAGAAAAGGGGGAUCUUUUAUAAGCCUGCAUGUCCCAUGUGCACUCUCCUCCCUCUGGGUCCUGAUUCUCUCUACCUGACGGUCCCUCUGCCAUUCAUCUGUGGCCAGAACGAGCCAUUCCAUUAAAAACCAGAAUGGUGACUGGGACAAAGAAGUAUCAUACCUGCUCAUAAAGGAUGUUUCCUGAAGGUUAGAAAAGUGCCAACGAGAGUAAUUUUCAGAUAUUUCAGAGUCAUCCUACUUUCACAUCUCUUCUUUAAAGAAAUUCUCAGGAAUAUCUCUCCAAAGCUUAUUCAGAGGUGAUGGUUUCGAGUGAAAUGCCAUGUGCCACAAGAGCAUACCAAUUUCUUUUGUUGCUUUGUGGCCUUGAUUUAAAGAUAUCUAGUAUUGGAGAGGCAUAAACACAAAUUAUUAAAUAACUUUCUCUUUAUAGGCAGUCAUCCGUUGUUGACUUAUCUUUCUAUUUACAUCAUUCUCUUAUGUUGGCCAUUGUGAGGGCUAAUUGUGUAUUGUGAGGCUUACAUAAUACAACCUUGGAAAAGCUUGUGUGUCUUCAUUGCCCUGGUAUAGUGUUAAAUAUAGAUGUUAAAAGAGAAGCAGUGUGGUAGGGUAGAAAGAUUGAGAGCUGAAGUCAAAAGGCUCUUCUGAAACCGAUAACCAAAGUGUGAGCUGUUGAAAUAUGGAAUUCCCUCUGGCGUGAUUGUGUAUUGUCUGGCAGUGGAGGCCUAGAGCUCAUGCUUGAUAGGUGAGUGGCUGAAAGAUCCUGGUGAUAAAAAAAACCCUGGUCUCUUUGGACCUUAGGUGCACUUGUCUCUGAAAGAAGUGGGCUGCAGUGACACUAAAAUCUUGUUUAGAUGCUAUUUUUUUUUUUUAUAGAAACUAGUGACUCAGAAUUUAACCUCACUUCACAAAGAGCUGCUUAAAUCAUAUUGAGGGAGGAGAAGACAGAUGAUCGCUUGCAUCUUUAAUAUGUUAUAUUAAGAUUGAUCUCUACAUACGCUUUUUAAAAUAAACAGCAAGGUUGAGAAAAGUUUGGGCUCACUGUUGGCUACCUUUUGAGCAUGAAUUUAACCAACACACACACACACACACACAUACAGCUUUGUACCCAGCAACAUCACUGAAUGGGUCACAACCCUGUCAUCCUGUAGACCAGGACACUUGACACCUAAGCAGAGAAGAGAAAGGACACAUACAUUAUUUUAUGAUCCAACUCAACAAAUAUUUGGUAAACGUUUGCUCUAUCAGUUAGGGUAAACUUUCCAUUAAGAUGAGCUGCCUAGAUUUAUCUGAUGGCUCAGCUUGUGGUAAAUACAUCCUCCCAGGUAUUACAUUUUGUGACUUGUGAGACAUUAAAGAAAAUUUAGGAGUUCCCGUCGUGGCUCAGUGGUUAACGAAUCCGACUAGGAACCAUGAGGUUGCAGGUUCGAUCCCUGCCCUUGUUCAGUGGGUUGACGACCUGGCGUUGCCAUGAGCUGUGGUGUAGGUCACAGAUGCGGCUCAGAUCCCGAGAUGCUGAGGCUCUGGCGUAGGCCAGCAGCUAUGGCUCCGAUUAGACCCCUAGUCUGGGAACCUCCAUAUGCCAUGGGAAUGGCCCUAGAAAAGGCAAAAAGACACACACACACAAAAGAAAAGAAAAUCUAGGGGGAAAUUAUGGUGAUGGAACAGAAUUCCCUUAUACUAUGGAAAUAUAGUCACUCAAAGAUUUGUUAGAUCCUUCUUUCCUUCUUCCUUCCUCUCUCCGUGUUUUAUAUAUUUAUUUAUUUAUUUAUUUUUUCCAGCCAGAGGGUCAAGGUCAAUGGUGGGGGUUGAGCUAUUUUUUUUAGUCUGCGUAACUGGAUGAGAUUAGUGUACAUGUAGACAAUACAAGGAAAAAAACGUCAGGUUAAUUUUUAUUUAUCACUUGCACUCAGUGCCAGGUGGGGCCAUGGGGAUGGGGUGACAGUUGUCUGGCGUGGAAGCAUUCAUCUGCCUACUGUGACUUAGGUAGUUGCAAUAAAAUUCAGUGCCUGGAGGAAGAGACUUCUGUUUCUUAUCAAAUAUUGGUUGGGUUGGAUUAUAAAAUAAUCCAUGCGUCCUUUUGCAUUUUUAACUUGCUGUUUGAAAAACAUCCUUGACUUUUAAAUGAAAUUUUCUUUGAAACAUUUGAUUGUCAAACCAUGUUUUUGUUUCUCUUGAGCCCUUGCUACCUCAGGAAGCGAUUUUGGUGGGAAAACAUUCCUUGGUUUUCUAGAAGGACUUGCAGUUGUUAGACAUCAUUACAAGGUGUAUUCAAUCCUCAGCUCUGCUGUUUCUUAGCUGUGGGACUCCUGGAUAGUUUGAUACCUCUGAGCUUAAGUUUUGUCAUCGGUACAUGGUACCUAAUGCACAGAUGGCUAUGAGAAUGGGAUGGAAUCAUUAGAUAAAGCUCAUUUGCACAGCCCGGGCACACAAUCUGCUCUUAGGCAUAGAAAUCUACCAUCAAAAUGGGGAGUCAACUGCAUAAAGUCUUGCAGGGGGAUGGGGUGGGGAAGCCAAAGCAAAAACUUGAUUCAAUCAGUGUUUCUGAGUUAUGUUCACAUACAUGGAUGUGAUCUUAGCAAAGCAACUAGACGUUUCAGAGACACUAACAUGCCCCUUGUUUUGCAGAAUGUAAGGCUGCAGUUUUACAUUUCUUAGCUAGAUCACUGCAUGCAAUAUUACAGGUCUGUUUUUUGUUUUUUUUUUUUUCUUAUGGAAUCUAGAGAAAGAGCUUCAGAUGGAUAGGGAAACAAUGUGAUGCCUCAAACACUCAAGGGAGAGUUUCUGAACCCCUCAUUUCUGUGAGUAAAUGGCUGUUUGCCACUUCUUCCAUUUGGCUUUCUGCUGUGAGAGCAGGCGGUGUGGAGCUCGCCUAAUUGCUACAAUUAGCAAAAUUAAAUGGCUCAUCGUGUUUUUAUACAAUUCCAUCCACAUUCCACAGAGUUUUAGCUUUGAGGCUGGUGAUCGCAGACACUUACUGCACCUUUCCAUGGGCCCAUUUUUAGGACAGCUACUGGACAAGACACAUGUCCACAGAGAGCACUCUGCAGUGGACAGUGCCACCUGCCAGAGUGAGGAGAGGGGGUGCCACCCAACAGUCAAGGUGGUUUCCCAGCGGGAUGAAGGUCGGGGCCAGAGACUUGGAAAUGGGGGGUGGGGUGGAGGUGGAAGAGGGAAAUGGACCAUCCUUAGCCACUUUGACUGCUUCUGCUUCAGAUGGGGAGAAAAAGUAUUAUGUGUCACAAGCUGGCAGAAGCCAUCAUUUUGAUUGUUUUCAAAAGUGACAUCGGGUUGCUGAAGAUAAGUGAACGUGAGCUGAUCUGCAUCCAUCACUGAAAUUAGAGGGACGACCAGCUCAGUGCUGCUGUGUCUGCAUCUUGCAUAUCCACCAUCUUCUGAGCUAUUUUUUUCUGAAAGACAGCCUGAGCUAUUUUUUUAAAGGCUGAAAGGAAUUCUGCUUAGAAACAUAAAGAUGCAGGCACCUCAGCCAGGCUUUCUAUAGAAACAGGAACAGCUAACGGCAAAAGUUUCUGAGAAUGCAGGGGAACGGAUAUUUUGUCUAGAAAAAUGGUUGGUUGGAAGAAAAAAUUCUGGAUUCUUGGCCAAAUAGUGUGUCAGAACUUUUUUCCACUCAAUGGCAUUUGGUUCAGUUAAAGGCAACUAAAUAACCUUAUGUAAUCCUGCUAAGGACACUGGGGGUUUUCUUUGCUCCAUUCAGUCUAUUUAGAGAGAGAAACUUUGAAAUGAUUCAAAACUAUUCUAGUCAACUGCUUAAAAGAUGAGAUCCUUGAGGAGUGGGAAAGCUUGUACAAGCUAAAAGUGCUCAAUUCCAACCUAAUUCUAGGUAUUUCCAACCGAAGCUCAGAAGUGUGUUGAUGUCUUAGAGACAUGGACUCAUCAGCUUGGGCUGACGCUGAAAAGGAGCGGGGAAAAGGCUUUUUAUCUAGAAGUUCAUGUGUCAAUAGGGCAUGGAAGGGCAAUACAUACUUUACUCUUUUUACCUGCUACUUUAGCUGUGUGUGUGUGUGUUUGUAUUAUAUAUAACGUGUAUGUUAUCUAUACCCCACACACAUAUAUACGAUGUUUUUU